rnacentral:lncRNA from 1 species
GGGGCUGGAGAAUGGGCCGGGACAGGGACAGAGGUGUCCACUGGGAGGAGGGAGCAGGCCGGACGUCUGCCCCGUCCCCGGUGGGUGCGGGGGCGUCAGGUGGGCAAAACCCCAGCGAGGGGAAGCUCCAGGUAAGAGGGCGACCGCGCCCAGGAGGGAAGCCCUUACUGCACCGCCCCGGCCUCGCCCCCGGUCCCCGCGGCUGCGCUCCCUACGCCGCCGGGGAGGCGCCGACGCCGGGACCAGGCUGCGGGUUCCGCCUCGGAGUCCUGGCUGCCGGGCACCCCGGCUGGGCCCGCGGGCGCCCGCUCCCCUCGCCGCUGAGGGCUGUCCAGAGAGAGGGCUUGCUCCCCACUCUAGGUCUGAAUCACCACGAACGCGCCUUAAACUCUAUUCCCACCUUUUUGGUUGCUUUUCCUUACGUCCUCUUUAAAUGAGCCUUUGGCUUCUAACAGUCUCCUCCCGAUAGGCGCAAAAGCAGUUUUUUCAGUUCAUUAGGAUAAUGAAUAGCUUACAUUUUUUGAUUGCUAACUAUGCAGAGUAGUUGGCUUUUUUUUUUUUUUUGAGACGGAGUCUCGUUCUGUCACCCAGGCUGGAGUGCAGUGGCGCGAUCUCAGCUCACUGCAACCUCUGCCUCCCGGGUUCAAGCGAUUCUCCUGCCUCAGCCUCCUGAGUAGCCGAGACUACAGGCGCGUGCCACCACACCUGGCUAAAUUUUUGUAUUUUUAGUAGAGACGGGGUUUCACAGUGUUAGCUAGGAUGGUCUCGAUCUCUUGACCUCGUGAUCCGCCCGCCUCGGCCUCCCAAAGUGCUGGGAAUACAGGCGUGAGCCACCGCGCCUGGCCGAGUAGUUGGCUUUUCAUAUCACAUGAUCACAUUUCAUCCAUAUGACAAACUCUAUGAAUUAUUAUCCCUAGUUUACAGAUGAGGAAAGUAGAGCUCCGAGGAAUUAAACCCUUCAACACUAACUUGUACUGCGUCAUACUAAAUGUGCCUCUCUGACCAUCUCUGCCAAGGUUUCUCAGAAGCGCCUUUUAUUUCUGUUGUUUUUGUUUCUCUGCAACUCUAUCAUGUUAUCUUAGCUCAUGAAUUCCUUGACCAUCUCUGGGAGAUACAGAGUUUAUGGAAAUAUUGAGGGAACAAAAGUGAAUUUUCUGGCCGGGCACGGUGGCUCAUGCCUGUAAGUCCAGCACUUUGGGAGGCCGAGGCAGGCAGGUCACUUGAGGUCAGGAGUUCAAGAUAUACUUCAACUCACACAUACAAAAUGGCCCUUGUGGAACAUAUGUGUAGAGAUUUUAGUCUUAGUAGAGCUUUUCAACUUUUUCAUUCAUUCCCCAGAUAUAUUUAGCACAGUAUCCGAGAUGCUUAGGGAAUAUGUUUGUGAGCAAAACUGAUGGCUCUGCCUCAUGGAGAGGGAAUAGGGAAGAUAGGGAAGUGGGAGUGGGAUAGGGAAGAAAAACAACCAACAGGCCUGGCGCAGUGGCUCAAGUCUGUAAUUCUGGCACUUUGGGAGGCGGGCGGAUCACUUGAGGUCAAAAGUUUGAGACCAGCCUGGCUAACACGGUGAAACCCCAUGUCUACCAAAAAAUGUGAAAAUUAGUCGAGCAUGGUGGUGCACACCUGUAAUCCCAACUACUCGGGAGGCUGAGGCAGAAUUACUUGAACCUGGGAGGUGGAGGUUGCAGUGAGCAGAGAUCGUGCCACUGUACUCCAGCCUGAGUGACAGAGACUCUGUCUCAGAAAAAAAAAAAAAAAAAAAAGAGUAAUUCUCUUGUACUUUAAAUUAAUUUUAAGCAUUGGGAUCCAUAUUUAGAUUUGCUGCCCUCUGCUGGAAUUUUUUGGGGAAAAAUUUCCUGGGUAGACAGUUAAACAUUUAACCUUUAUGUUAACAGAUCUUUAUGAGUCUAAAAAUUACAGUGUAAGGAGAGGCAGAAACUGGACUUACUUUUCAGUUGACAGUUUCCAGAAUUCACCAAAAAUAUGCUAAAUUAUUAUUAUUAUUUUGACAUGGAGUCUCGCUCUGUUGCCCAGGCUGGAGUGCAAUGGCAUGAUGUCAGCUCACUGCAACCUCCACCUCCCAGGUUCAAGCAAUUCUCCUGUCUCAGCCUCCCAAGUAGCUGGGGUUACAGGCAUGUGCCACCAUGCCCAGCUAAUUUUUGUAUUUUUAGUAGAGAUGGGGUUUCACCAUGUUGGUCAGACUGGUUUCAAACUCCUGACCUCAGGUGAUCCACCAGGCUCAGCCUCCCAAAAUGCUGCGAUUACAGGCAUGAGCCAGUUUGCCCAGACUAUGCUAAAUUAUUAAUAGGGUGACAGAAGACACGGUUCAGUGAUCAGCCUUUUUUUUUUUUUUUGCUAUAAAACUUUUUUUUUUUUUUUUUUUUUUUACACAGGGUCUCACUCUGUCACCCUGGAUGGAGUGCAGUGGUGCAGCCUCGACUUUUUGGGCUCAAGCAAUCCUCUUGCCUCAGCCUCCCAAGUACCUGGGACUACAGGUGUGUGCUACCAUGCCUGGCUAAUCUUUUUUUUUUUUUUGUAAAGAUGAAGUCCCACUAUAUUUCCCAGGCUGGUUUUGAACUCCUAGGCUCAAGCAAUCCUCCUGCCUUGGCCUCCCAAAGUGCUGGAAUCACAGGUGUGAGCCACCACGCCUGGCUAAUAUAUAACUUUGGAUGGACAUUUCCCCUCCUCAGGGUCCAGGUUUUGAAUGUGCAAUAUGAGGAGAUUGGACAGGAUCCUCUGUAAGGCCCUUACAGCCCUAACAUUCUGUGAUGUGUGACUCAAAGUUUGUGGGGUUCAUGUGAGCUCUACAAAUAUGAGCAAAGGAGAAAACAUGCUUCCUCAGUCAACAUCUUGACUGAAGAAUCACCAGAACAUUAGAUAAAUAAUUACAGAUGGGGCUUUCGUUGUAAUCUUACAAUGCUUUAGGGAAAUAAGCGUUGCAUACCUACUGCAGCUUUCUUGGGCUUUAAAUGACCAUAUAGCAUGUUCACAAAACAUCACAAAACAUUAGUAAAGAGAAAAGAAUUCAGAUAAAACUGAACCUUAUUUUUUUUCAGCCUAACUCCUGUUUUCUUUGCUGAGAUACUAGUAAUGCUGAAGUAUUUGUUUGUGUUCAGUUACAAAUUACAUGAUACAAUUAAUGAUGUAGGAAUAUUUUGUGCUUAUGUAGAAAUUUAUAACAAAAUGUUUUCUACUGCAAUAGUGCCUUGGUAGAGUUUUUAUAAAUGAGUUUUUACAAAGGUAUUUAUUAUGGAACUGUGGAAAAUAAAGUCCUGAGACUUGAAAUAAUUUACCCCAAACCACAAGAGAUAGGAGUCAGAUUAAAUACCUACAAUGACAGUUGUCUCUUUUAUUCUAGGUUCUUCCUCAGCCUGUUAUUGGCUCUAGUUAACAGGGAAAGGGAAGUCCUAGAAAAGUCAUUUAUUGAAUUUGUAGUCCUAUGGUAAGGUUACUAAUGUAACAAGAAAAAAAAUUUACCCUACUUUUAACAACCCCAAAGGACAGCUAGGACUCUGCAGUUGAACAACCUUCUUUACAAUAAGCAUUUUUUUUUUUUUGAGACGGUGUCUCGCUGUGUUGCCCAGGCUGGAGUGCAAUGGCGCUAUCUUGGCUCAGCGCCACUGAGCCCCAGGCUGGUCUCAAACUCCUGACCUCAGGUGAUCUGCCUGCCUCGGCCUCCCAAAGAGCUGGGAUUACAGGCAUGAGCCCCUGCGCCCAGCCUACAAUAAGCAUUUUUUAAGAUUUAUGCAUUUCAGCCAGGUGAGGUGGCUCAUUUCUGUAAUCUCAACACUUUGGGAGGCCAGGGUGGGCAGAUUGCUUAAGUCCAGGAGUUCGAGACCAGCCUGGGGCAACAUGGCGAAACCCUGUCUCUAUGAAAAUUAAAAAAAAAAUUAGCUGGACAUGGUGGUGUGUGCCUGUCGGCCAGCUACUCGGAAGGCUUUAGUGGGAGGAUCACUUGAGCCUGGGAGGCUGAGGCUGCAGUACGCCAAGAUCAUGCAACUGCACUCCAGCCUGGGGGGAAAACAGACCCUGUUCCACCCAAAAGAAAUAAAAUUAUGUAUUUCAAGGCAGUUUGUUUUUUCUCCUUUUUUAUGCCUUGUAUGUACAGAAUAGCAGGACAUUACUUUCUAGGUAACAUGUUAUUUUAUUUUAUGGGAAAAACAGUCCUUGGAUCCUUUAACUUUUAUUUAUUUCUCUUUUAUCCCACAAAUGUUUGCAGUCUUUAAAAGUUCCUACAAAUUCUUUAGAAGUUCUCUUCCUCCCUGAUUUGAGCUGUGUUUUGGACGACUUCCCCUUUGGCAGGGCUUAGUAUGUGAAAUGCUAGCUCCAUUCUGGGAGAUUACCAUAGAAGAUUGACUUUCAUCUCUGAAAUUACACAUUUUCUUUCCACUGAGAUUUGGCUUGUUCUGAUCUGCUUUAUAUUUCCUAAAAAUACAGUGCUGUGGCAUCACUUCCUCGGUGACUAACUGAAACAACUGAACCGGUUCCUUUGACCUGUAUUCCCACCCUGUAUCCCUACACCCAAGACUUCUUACUCAAGCUCUUGCUAAUCUUUUCUGGAAUUAACUACCAUUCCCUUGCCCCCUUCCCCCAUUCCUUUAGGAUACACAGAUAAAAUUCUCUUGGAGGAAAAGUAAAAGGAACUACUCAUAUUCUUCAAUUGUCUACAGUAUUACUCUAAUAAAAGGACUAUAUCAUAGAGCCUGGAAAACUUUUCUAUUUAUAGUAACAUUUAUUUAAUAAAUUUAUUCAUGUACUGAAAAAGCACUCAGGCAGCCCAAAGUAGAAGGCCCCUGAAGGUUUUCUUUCCCUGCGACUAACUUCUUGCAACCAAGCAAAACAAUGGGGAAUUUGCUUAGGGACUGUGAAUCUCAGGAUAAUCUUUUCCUUUUUACUUUUCUGCAUCUCCACCUGCCUCCUCCUGCUCCCAGGACACACAGCCAGCCAUUAUCAAGUACACUAAGUAAUGUUUUUUCGUACAUAAUUAAAGCAUGGAAUCUGAAUACUAGAGAGAAUAUCAGUGCAUAAAUUAUAGUUAGGAAACUUAGAGGUGAAACCGGUCUCUUCUUACUCAUGUACAGCCAUGUGUCACUUAACAACCAAGAUCUGUUCUAAGAAAUGCAUCCUAGGCAAUUUCUUCAUUGUGGGAACAUCACAGAGUGUACAUAUGCAAACCUAGCUUAUUGCUCCAAAGCUAGAAACUUGUGCAGCCUGUUACUGUACUGAAUACUUAGGCGAUUGUAACUAGAUGGUAUUUGUAUCUAGGUUGGGCGUGGUGGCUCAUGCCUAUAAUCCCAGCAUUUUGGGAGGUUGAGGCAGGCAGAUCACUUGAGGUCAGGCGUUUGAGACCAGCCUGGCCUACAUGGUGAAAACCCAACUCUAUUAAAAAUACAAAAAUUAGCCAGGCAUGGUAGUGUGUGCCAGCUACACAGGAGGCUGAGGCUCAAGAAUCGCUUGAACCCGGGAGGCAGAGGUUGCAGUGAGCCGAGAUCGCACACUGCAUUCCAGCCUGGGCGACACAGUGAGACUCCGUCUCAAAAAAAAAAAAGAAAGUAUUUGUAUCUAAACAUAGAAAACUUAUGGUAAAAAUAUGGUAUAAAAGAUAAAAGAUGGCACACCUAUAUAGGGCACUUACCAUGAAUGGAACUUGCAGGACUGGAAGUUGCUUAGUGAGUCAGUGGUAAGUGAAUGUGAAGGCCUAGGACAUUUAAAAAAAUUUUUCAUUUUUGGCCGGGUGCGGUGGCUCACACCUGUAAUCCCAGCACUUUGGGAGGCCGAGGCAGGUGGAUCACCUGAGGUCAGGAGUUCGAGACUAGCCUGACCAACACGGAGAAACCCCGUCUCUACUAAAAAUACAAAAAAGUUAGCCAGGCGUGGUGGCACAUGCCUGUAAUCCCAGCUACUCGGGAGGCUGAGGCAAGAAAAUUGUUUGAACCUGGAAGGUGGAGGUUGCAGUGAGCCGAGAGUGUGCCAUUGCACUCCAGCCUGGGCACCAAGAGCAAAACUCCGUCUCAAAAAAAAAAAAAUUUCAUUUUUGAAUUAUUUAUUUAUUUACUUAUAGCCGGGCAUGAUAGCUCAUGCCUGUAAUCCUAGCACUUUGGGAGGCCAAGGCGGGCUGAUCACCUGAGGUCAGGGGUUCGAGAGCAGCCUGACCAACAUGGCGAAACCCCAUCUCUACUAAAAACACAAAAAUUAGCCAGGCGUUGUGAUGCACACCUGUAAUCCCAGCUACUUGGGAGGCUGAAGCAGGAGAAUCGCUUGAAAUAGGGAGGUGGAGGUUGCAGUGAGCCCAGAUCACACCAGUUCACUCCAGCCUGGGCAAUAGAGCGAGACUGUCUCAAAAAGAAAAACAAAAAACAAAACAUAAAUAAUUUUUAUAAAAACAAGGUCUCACUCUGUUGCCCAGGCUGCUCACAAACUCCUGGGCUCAAGUGAUGCUCCCUCCUGGGCCUCCCAAAGUGCUGGGAUUACAGGUGGGAGCCACUGCACCCAGCUGACCUAGGACAUUAUUGUAUACUACUGUAGACUUUAUAAACACUGACACUUAGGCUACAUUAAACUUGAAAACAUGUUUCCUUCUUCAAUGAUAAAUUAACUUUAGCUUACUGUAGCUUUAAAAAUUUGUAAGGCCAGGUGCUGUGGCUCAUGCCUGUAAUCCUAGCACUUUGGGAGGCUGAGGUGGGCGGAUCACUUGAGGUCAGGAGUUCACAAUCAGCCUGGCCAACAUGGUGAGACCUCACCUCUACUAAACAUAGAAAAAAUUAGCCGGAUGUGGUGGCACAUACCUGUAAUCUCAGCUACUUGGGAGGCUGAGGCAGGAGGAUCACUGGAACCCGGAAGGCGGAGGCUGCAGUGAGCCAAGAUUGUACCACUGCACUCCAGCCUGGGCAGUAGAGUGAGACUCUGCUCAAAAAAAAAAAAAAAUUGUAAACUUUUUUUUUUUAAACUUUUUGUCUCUUGUAAUAACACAGCUUAAAACACAUUGUACAGCUGUACAACAUUUUUUUUGAAACAGGGUCUCCCUCUGUCACCCAGGCUGGGGUGCGCUGGCAUGAUCACGACUCACUGCAGCCUCAACUUCCUGGGCUCAAGCAAUCCUCUCGCCUUAGCUUCCUGAAUAGCUGAGGUUACCGUGUGCGCCACCAUGCUUGGCUAAUUUUUUGUAUUUUUUGUAGCGAGAGGGUCUUGCUGUUGUCCAGACUGUCUCAAACUCCUGGCCUCAAGUAAUCCUCCCACCUUGGCCUCCCAAAGUGCUGGAAUUACAAGCUUGAGCCACCUCGCCUGGCCUGCAAACGUAAAAUUAAAAAAAAAAUAAAUGCCUCUUCCUGCCCCCAUUCCUCAGCCCCUCCACUGCUAGUACCAGUAUCUGCAUGCUAGGUGUUCAUCCCUGGACUGAGGAUUUUAAAUGCUUUAACUUAUUUAUUCUUCACGAUAAUCCUAUGAGGUAGACACUAUUGUUACCUCCAUUUUACAGGAGAGGAAAUGGAGGCUGCCUGGCUUUGGGAACUGCCCUGAGGUCACACAGCAGCGCAUGUUGCCUUCAGUCCAGCCUUCUUUGGAAUCCCAACCCUUCCCUCAGGAGGUUGGCUUUAAGGCCUUCAUUUCUAAACCACUGUCUUCUUUUUUUUUUUUUUUUUGAGAUGGAGUGGCUUGAUCUGGACUCACUGCAACCUCUGCCCCCUGGGUUCAAGUGAUUCUCUUGCCGCAGACUCCCAAGUAGCUGGGAUUAUAGGCGCCCACCACCAUGCCGAGCUAAUUUUUGUAUUUUUAGUAGAGACGGGGUUUCAUCAUGUUGGCCAGGCUGGUCUCAAACUCCUGAUCUCAGGUAAUCCACCCGCCUCAGCCUCCCAAAGUGUUAGGAUUACAGGCGUGAACCACCGCUCCUGGCCUAAAUUACUGUCUUCUCUCCAAGAACAUUAAUAUAGAACCACUUUUAUAUCUACAACUUUAAUUACAUGUUUAUUUCCCCAAAUCAUCAAAAUCUGCAAUGUCCCCAAACCCCUCAGGAGAUUCAGUGAAGGAAGGAGGCUGGAACAGGGUUCUAACAGAUGAGGGUCUGCACUUGCAGGCCUCUGUUUUUACAACACUUUGCUGUUUUUGAUCCUCUAGUCCAUAUACCUUUUUCCUUACCCUCCAGCAUAUUUUGUUCCAAUGGAGUCAGGAAUAUAAGCCCUUUAGAACCCCUGAAAGUUCUUUGUGUGUUUCUGAUAGAUAAAGAUUUCCUCAUUUUAAAGUACAUAGUUCUCUGUUUUGGUCAGUUUCAGUCCCCACUGACCUUGUAAAUGGGUGAUACGGAACAGCCUGUAACUACAAAAUCGACUUCUUAUCCAGUUCCCUCAGCUGCUCCAUUUAUAUGUACGGAACCCAAGGGACAGAGCUGGGUUCACACACUGUGGAAAAGAAAAAGAAGAAAUAAUUUUUGUUCAAAACAAAGAAACAAAUUUUAAAUUCACGCUGUUCUUUCUCUUUACUCUGCACGAAAUGACUGAUAAUAAACCAAAGUUGUUUCAGAGGAAAAAAAAAUUAUCCUGGAACAGAGAUCACCUGACAAGCUACACAGCCUGUUUCGCUGAUGCUCACUUGCUCAGUUGCAUUGGGGGUUUCAUGGCCUUUGGUCAAGGCCAGGAGGGCCUAACCCCAAGCACACUAGUUUCUUUUAGUGUUGUUCGUUUGUUUGUUUUUGAGACAGGGUUUCACUCUCUCACCCAGGCUGGAGUGCAGUGGCACCACUGUAGCUCACUGCAGCCUCAACGUCCCAGGCUCAGGUGAUCCUCCCACCUGGGCCUCCCAAGUAGCUGGGACUACAGGCACGUGCCACCACACCCACUGGCCUCAGCCUCCCCAAAUGCUGGGAAUACAGAUGUCAGCCACCACGCCCUAGCCUCAAGCACAUUGCUAUGGAAGCCUAAAAAGAUAAAUCUGGCUGGGCGUGGUGGCUCACGCCUGUAAUCCCAGCACUUUGGGAGACUGAGGCCGGCGGAUCACGUGAUGUCAGGAGUUCCAGACCAGCCUGGCCAACAUGGUGAAACCCUGUCUCUAAUAAAAAUAUAAAAAUUAGCCAGGCGUGGUGGCAGACGCCUGUAAUCCCAGCUACUCCAGAGGCUGAGUCACAAGAAUGGAGAAUCGCUUGAACCUGGGAGGUGGAGGUUGCAGUGAGCUGAGAUUGCGCCACUGCACUCCAGCAUGGGUGAUAGAAUGAGACUCAGUCUCGAAAAACAAAAAGAAAAGACGAAUCUACCAGGUAGAGUGGUUCAUGACUGUAAUUCCAGCACUUUGGAAGACCAAGUGGGUGGAUCACAUGAGUCCAGAGGUUUGAGACCAGCCUGAGCAACAUAGCAAGACCUCUAUCAGAGAAAUAUAUAUAUAUAUAUAUAUAUAUAUUUUUUAAAGAUAAGUUCAGCUGCUGGGGAAAGUGGUAGUUGGUUUCUUAGCAAGCAACAGAAUCAUUUUGACCUUUAAAGACAAGGACAAGAUAAAAUACAAAGGGAAAAGCACUGCAGAGUAAGGAAAGUAAAGAUUAGAAUAACAAAAUACUGAAUUAGACUAUUCACUGUAAACUCUCAGAGCCAUUAUAAUUACUAGGAAUUCUGGCUUAUAGUGUGAUUAAAUAGAGUAACCUUGGCAAGGUCCGUAGUUGUAUUUUGGGUGAGUUUCUCCAUCUGCAUUUGGUGUGAGGAUAAGACUUGCUCUAAAACAGCCUGAGGUCAGGUGCAGUGGCUCAAGCCUGUAAUCCCAGCAAUUUGGGAGGCUGAAGUGGUAGGAUCACUUGAGCUCAGGAGUUUGAGACCACCCUGGGCAACACAGAGGGACCCCGUUUCUACUUAAAAAAUAAAAAAAAAAUAUAUGUGUUUUGCCUCUGCACCAAGUUCCUGACACAGAGCUCCUAAAUCCUUGGAACUUCCUGGGUGAUGGGAGCAUCUUUUGUACUAAUGAGGGUCUCUUGGUGUCUUGCUGGAUAGCUUCAGGAUAGGGUCUGGUCACCAGAAAGACAAAGUCAUGACUAGAAGCUUGAAAAUUUAGCCACAUCCCCCAUCCUCCAGGGAGGGGAGAAGGACUAGGGAUUGAGUUAAAAACUGAUCAUGCCUACGUGAUGAAGCCUCCAUAAAAAUCCCUAAACUACCGGGUUCCCAGAGUUCCAAACUGGUAAACAAGAACAUAUCCACUUGCAGGAGGGUUGUGCACCCCAGCUCCACUACACUCAAAGGACAGAAGCUGCUGCACUCAGGAGCCUUCCAUACCUCACCCUAUAUAUAUCCUCAUUUGACAAUUCAUUUCCCGUUUUUUUUUUUUUUUUUUUUUUUUGUUUAGAUGGAGCCUCGCUCUGUUGCCCAGGCUGGAGUGCAGUGGCAUGAUCUCGGUUCAAUGAUGCAGCUUCCACUUCCCAAGUUCAAGUGAUUCUCUGCCUCAGCCUCCUGAGUAGCUGGGAUUACAGGCGUGCACCACGACACUCGGCUAAUUUUUUCUUUUCUCUUCUUGAGAUGGAGUUUCACUCUUGUUGCCCAGGCUAGAGUGCAAUGGCAUGAUCUUGGCUCACCGCAACCUCCAGCUCCCGGGUUCAAGCGAUUCUCCUGCCUCAGCCUCCCGAGUAGCUGGGAUUACAGGCAUGCGCCACCACGCCCGGCUAAUUUGGUAUUUUUAGUAGAGACGGGGUUUCUCCGUGUUGGUCAGGCUGGUCUCGAAAUCCCGACCUCAGGUGAUCCGCCUGCCUCGGCCUCCCAAACUGCUGGGAUUACAGGCGUAAGUCACCGCACCCGGCUCCCCUUCCUGCUUUUAUCCUGUCUUCUAUCUCUGUAGGGCUCCCCGUCCCUGAUUUUAUUAAUACUAGUCCUAUCCACCUGUGCCCCAGUUCUGUAUUCCUGCUCACAGUCUCUGGGAUCUUGCUUCAUAAUUUAACCCUUUUUCUUGACCCUUCACUUUCUUUUGUUUAGACAAAUUGGGACUGAACUCUAGUUUCAGUACCAGUUUGAGUUACUGUUCAAAUAAAAUUAUAGGCCACUUUGGGAGGCAGAAGCAGGAAGAUCGCUUGAGUCCAGGAAUUCAAGACCAGCUUGGACGACAUAGUGAGACCCUGUCCCUACAAAAAAAUUUAAAAUUAGCAUGGUGUGGUGGUACAUGCCUGUAGUCCCAGCUACUGGGGAGGCUGAGGUGGGAGGAUCGCUUGAGCCCAAGAGCUCAAGUUAGCCAUGUUGGUGCCACUGCACUCCAGCCUGGGCAAGAGUGAAACCCUCUCUCAAAAAUAAAAUGAGUAUCCCCUCCCCACGCCCCCUCCCUUCAUGAUUUCAAUUUUAAGCAUCCCACCGUCCAACCACAACCUCCCACUUUUUAGCUCUACGAAACCAGUACCCACAACCCUUCUACCUAACUGGGACUUACAAGACAUUGACACGCCCACGUGUGCACUGUCCUCUAUUCCGCUACAUCCUCAGGUCUCCUUCCAUAGCUUCCACCGUAGCUUACACCUACCAACUCUCAUGCUUUAUUUUCUUGUUUGUGCUCACUUAGCAAAACCGAAUAACCUGAUUAAAUCUAACUCUGCCUACUCCAUGCCUGCAGGCAUGGCUGUGGUAUGCCGAGAGUUCCAUUUAAAGUUCAUGACUACUAACCUCCAGCGGGUUUAUAUUGCUCAGCAGUCAUCCGGAAUUUCCCUUAAUUUUUCACUUUCCCACUCUCCUGAAAGUCUUUUUUUUUUUUUUUUUUUUUAAGAUAGGGUCUGGCUCUGCUACCCAGGCUGGAGUGCAGUGGUGCUGCAAUCUUGGCUCACUGCAACCUCCACCUCCCGGGUUCAAGGAAUUCUCCUGCCUCAGCCUCCCCAAGUGGCUGGGAUUACAGAGGCCUACCACACUUGACUAAUUUUUGUUUUUGUUUCUGUUUUGUGAUGGAGUCUCCCUCUUGUUGCCCCAGGCUGGAGUGCAAUGGCAUGAUCUCGGCUCACCGCAACCUCCGCCUCCCGGGUUCAAGUGAUUCUCCUGCCUCAGCCUCCCGAGUAGCUGGGACUACAGGCGCCCGCCACCAUGCCUGGCUAAUCUUUUGUAUUUUUUCAGUAGAGACGGGGUUUCACCAUGUUAGUGAGGAUGGUCUCGAUCUCCUGACCUCGUGAUCCACCCGCCUCGGCCUCCCAAAGUGCUGGGAUUACAGGUGUGAGCCACCGUGCCCAGCCAAUUUUUGUAUUUUUAGUAGAGAUGGGGUUUCGCCAUGUUGGCCAGGCUCUAAAAGUCUUUUUGUAAUAUCUUCUUCACUGCCCUCAACUUCCCCCAAAGCUUCUCCCUAUUCUCACUCUCAGUUCAUGACUUUUCACCCUUAUUCACUGAGAAAAUAGAAGCAGUCAGAAAAGAAUGUCCACAAGCCCCUACUGCUAUGUCUUCCAUGUUAAAAUAUAAUUUUGAAAAAGUUAAGAUUAUGACUGUCAUACAAAUAUAGAAUAAACAUCAAGUUUUAUUAACUAAAGGAAGCAGUAAAAUGGUCAAGCUGGUGAAAAGAGCACUUGAAGAGCAGGAAUUUACAUAUUUUAUUAGGAAAGACACUUAAAAUUUUAUUAGAAUAAAAUUUAUAGAUAGAUACAAAACUGGUUAAUGCCUUACAGAGCAAAAACAUCCUAACCUGUGCAUCUGGUUUCUGCCACCUAGCAUCAUAUUCUGGAGUUUAAUCUAUAUGGUAGCAUGCAUUCAUCCUUCAUUCCUUCUUACUGCUGAACAGUAUUGCAUUGUAUGGAUGUAGCAUAUUUUAUUUACCCAUUCACCAGCUGACAGACUCAGAAUGUUUGCUGUUGGUUUUUCUUAGAAGCCCCUUAUCUGGUUAAGGAUAUUCCCUUCUAUUCCUAGUUCGUUGAGUUUUUAUCAUGAAUGGGUUGGAUUUUGUCAAAUGUUUUUUCUGCAUCGAUUGAGAUGAUCAUGUAGCUUUUGUCCUUUAUUAAUAUUGUAUAUUACAUUAAUUUAUUUUAGAAUUUAAACCAACCAUGCAUCCUUGGAAUAAAUACAACUUGGUCGUGUUGUAUAAUCUUUUUUUUUUUUUUUUUAAAUACCGAGUCUCGCUCUGUCGCCCAAGCUGGACUGCAGUGGUGCCAUCUCAGCUCACUACAACCUCCACCUCUUGGGCUCAAGCGAUUCUCCUGCCCCAGCCUCCAAAGUAGCUGUGAUUAAAGGUGCCUGCCACCACCCAGCUGAUUUUUACAUUUUUAGUAGAGACAGGGGUUUCACAAUGUUAGCCAGGCUAGUCUUGAACUGCUGACCUCAAGUGACCCAUCCAUCUCGGCCUCCCAAAGUGCUAGGAUUACAAGGUGAGUCACCAGGCCCAGCCUAUAAUCUCUCUUAUAUGUUGCUGAAUUUGGUUUGCAGACGACUUUUGUAUCAAUAUUUAUAAGGAUAUCGAUAUAUACUUUUCUUACAGUGUCUUUACCUGGUUUUAGUAUCAGAGUAAUAUUGAAUUUAUAGAAUAAAUUGGGAAGUGUUCCUCCUCUAAUUUCUGAAAUAAUUUGUUCAAUAUUUGUAUUAUUGGUUCUUUAAAUAUUUAAUGGAAUUUACCAAUGAAGCCAUCUGGGCUGGGCUCUUGUGGGAAGAUUGUUAGAUUGUUUUUGUUUGUUCUUGAGACAGGGUCUCACUCUGUUGCCCCAGGCUGGAGUGCAGUGGUACAAUCUCAGCUCACUGACACCUCCACCUCCCUGGUUCAAGUUAUUGUCCCACCUCAGCCUCCCAAGUAGCUGGGUCUAUAGGUAUGUGCCACCCCACCUGGGUAAUUUUUGUACAUUUUGGUUGAGACGGGUUUCACCAUAAUGCCCAGGCUGGUCUUGAACUCCCGACCUCAAGUGAUGUACCUGCCUUGGCCUCCCAAAGUGCUGGGAUUACAGGUGUGAGCCACCAUGCCCAGCUGGAAGAUUGUUUUUUAAAUUCAUUUUUUUUAACCACUUGAUAUAGGUAUGUUUGGAUAUCCUAUUUCUUCUUGAGUUGGUCUUGAUACUUUAUGCCUUUCUAGGAAUUUUUCAUUUCAUUAAAUUGCCUAAUGUACUGGUAUAAAGUUGUUCACAUUAUACUUUUUGUGUGUGUAUGGUAGAGAUGGGGUUUCACUGUUACCCAGGCUGUUCUGGAACUCCUGGGCUCAAGUAAUCUGCCCACCUCAGCCUCCCAAAGUGUUGGGAUCAUAGUCAUGAGCCACCAUGCCUGGCCCCAUAAUAUACUUUUAUAAUUUUAAUUUUUGUAGGGCAGAGAUUGAUGUCCUCUCUUUCAUUCUAGAUACUGGUAAUUUGUGUCUUCUCUUUUUUUUUUUUUUUUUUGAGACGGAGUCUCACUCUGUCACCCAGGCUAGAGUGCAGUGGCGCGAUCUCGGCUCACUGCAAGCUCCGCCUCCCAGGUUCACGCUAUUCUCCUGACUCAGCCUCCCAAGUAGCUGGGACUACAGGUGCCCGCCACCAUGCCCGACUAAUUUUUUGUAUUUUUAGUAGAGACGGGGUUUCAUCGUGUUAGCCAGGAUGGUCUCGAUUUCCUGACCUCGUGAUCCGCCUGCCUGGGCCUCCCAAAGUGCUGGGAUUACAGGCGCAAGCCACCACGCCCAGCCAGUGUCUUCUCUUUUUUAAAACAAAUUUAUUAUUAUUAUUUUUUGAGAUGGAGUCUCACUCUGUCGCCCAGGUUGCAGUGCAGUGGCACGAUCUCAGCUCACUGCAACCUUCCACCUCCCAGGUUCAAGCGAUUCUCCUGCCUCAGCCUCCUGAGUAACUGGGAUUACAGGCACCCGCCACCACACCUGGCUAAUUUUUGUAUUUUUAGUAGAGAUGGGGUUUCACCACGUUGGGCCAGGCUGGUCUCAAACUCCUGACCUCAAGUGAUCCACCUGCCUCGGCCUCCCAAAGUGUUGGAAUUACAGGCAUAAGCCACCAUGUCUGGCCUUUUUAAAAAUUUUUUUCGCUUGGCUAAUCUUAUUAUUAUUAUUAUUAUUGGAGACAAUGUUUUGCUCUAUUGCCUGCUUGAGUGCAGUGGCGUGACCUCAGCUCACUGCAGCCUCAACCUCUCAGGCUCAAGCAAUUCUAUCUCAUGAGCAUCCCCACCCGAGUAACUGGGACUACAGGCACGUGCCACCAUGACUGGCUAAUUUUUGUAUUUAUUUGGAAGAGACGGUGUUCACCAUGUUACCUAGGCUGGUCUCCAACUCCUGGGCUCAAGUGAUCCACCUGCCUCUGCUUCCCAAAGUGCUAGGAUUAUAGGUGUGAGCCACCACGACCAGUCAUUGUUAUUUUUUCAAAGAAACAACUUUUUGUUCGUUGAUUUUCUAUAUUGCUGUUUUCUGUUUCAUUGAUUUCUGCUCUAAUCUUUAUUUCCUCUUUUUUGCUUACCUUGGGUUUAGUUUGAUCUUUUGUUUAUUUAUUUAUUUAUUUAGAGACGGAGUUUCACUCUUGUCGACCAGGCUGGAGUGCAGUGGCGCCAUCUCAGCUCACCACAACCUCCGCCUCCCGGGUUCAAGUGAUUCUCCUGCCUCCACCUCCCGAGUACCUGGGAUUACAGGCAUGCGCCACCACACCCGGCUAAUUUUGUAUUUUUAGUGGAGACGGGGUUUGUCUAUGUUGGUCAGGCUGGUCUCAAACUCCCGACCUCAGGGGAUCAGCCCGACUCGGCCUCCCAAAGUGCUGGGAUUACAGGCAUGAGCCACCGCGCCCGGCCUUCUUUUUAUUUUCUUAAGAUAGAAGCUUAAUUUGAUUUGAGACCUUUCUUUUCUUCUUAUAUAUAUGUUUUCCUCUAAGCACUUCUAGCUGCUUCCCAUAAAUUUUGAUAUGUUGUAUUUUCAUUUUUACUCAGUUCAAAAUAUUUUAAGAUUUCCCUUGUGAAGUGGCUUUUGACCUAUGUGCUAUUUAGAAGUCUGUUUUAUUUCCAAAUACAUAGGGAUUUCCCAGAUCUCUUUCUGUUGUUGAUUUCUAAC